UCGGGAAUUUUGGGCAAUGGGCGAAAGCCUGACCCAGCAACGCCGCGUGAAGGAUGAAGUAUUUCGGUAUGUAAACUUCGAAAGAAUAGGAAGAAUAAAUGACGGUACUAUUUAUAAGGUCCGGCUAACUACGUGCCAGCAGCCGCGGUAAUACGUAGGGACCAAGCGUUGUUCGGAUUUACUGGGCGUAAAGGGCGCGUAGGCGGCAAUUCAAGUCAUCUGUGAAAUCUCCGGGCUUAACUCGGAACGGUCAGAUGAUACUGCUUUGCUAGAGUGCAGAAGGGGCAAUCGGAAUUCUUGGUGUAGCGGUGAAAUGCGUAGAUAUCAAGAGGAACACCUGAGGUGAAGACGGGUUGCUGGGCUGACACUGACGCUGAGGUGCGAAAGCGUGGGGAGCAAACAGGAUUAGAUACCCAAGUAGUCCCUGAGCGGGCUGGCAAGGCGCAU
rnacentral:rRNA from 1 species